rnacentral:rRNA from 1 species
UCUAGUUUUAAAUUAAGAUAAUUGAGUAGUAUUAGAGUUCUUGAAACUUAAAGAGUUUGGCGGUAUUUAAGUCUUUUUAGAGGAACCUGUAGCAUAAUCGAUAGUCCACGAGAUAUCUAACCUAAAGAUUAAAGUAUGUAUAUCGUUGUCCUUAGAAUAAUUUUGGAGAAUAUUUUCUUAAAAUUUUUUGUUUUUAUGUCAAAUCAAGGUGCAGCUAUAUUUAGGUGUGAUUGGGUUACAAUGUUUAGUGUAUAUGGAUUAUAUAAUGAAAUUUAUAUAUAAAGGUGGAUUUAAUUGUAAUAAUUUUUUAAUAAAAAUUUUUGAAAGAGUACUAAAAUAUGC